rnacentral:lncRNA from 1 species
UGUCUACGAUGAACAUGAGUGAGUAGACUUCUUAUGUCUUGGGAUUGUUGGAUAAGUCUAAUGACAUAAUCCUAAUCAAGUCAAGCCUUAAACCUUAAUAUUAUGUAACCCUAGUUUCUCUUCUAAAUUCACCGUUUUAACAUGGAUUAAAUAUUUUCAAACUGUGGAAACGAAAGUGGAAGGUUUGAUAAUCGUUAAUCCAUUAUUCCAAAUGUUAAUUCAUAAAACGAAAGUGGAGCUUUAAUAUUCGAUCAAGUGAAUUUAGACAAGGAUUGUGAAACAUGAAAAUAGUCUAGUGAACCUUGAGAC